GCCUCUUACCCUUUAUCUGAGAUACCGGCGGAUUUUGCCAGCCUCCUCGAAUUCUUACCUUUUGUCCUGCGUUACACGCCGGGGAAGGGAAUUCUGGGAUCGUGGGUUAUGCGGAUCCAAAAUGUUUUUCAGAAAUAAAGAAGUUGUAAAACAAUGGAGACAAGUAUAUAUUUAUGUAUGUGUCUUGUGUGUAGACAUGUAGAUUCAGGGUUACAUCUCAGAGUGCUACUCGGUGUAUUUUCUGUGCACGUCCUUCCUACUUCAAUCUCGUGGUAUACCAGGGACCAUGUUUUUCCUUUCCUCACCAUACAGAAUACAAGAAAUGACGAUUCUGAAAAAGAAGCUGAUGACCAGAACAAGGGAUAGGAAGAUGACCUGUUUGCUUGAAGAGCGAGACCAGAGAGCAAGGAGCGGAGUGACUUGAUCCUUGAGGGUGCCUUUGGCUCAAGGGGGAAGCUGACUCUUCCGGAGAAUCUUGGAGCCGACAACAAAGGAACUCAGCACCCAGCUAACUUCCAGGAAGAAGCUUCCUUUCCUCCCCCUGCUUUUCCCCUUUCCCCUCCUUUCUCUCUCUGCAGCCAUCAGAAAUAAACUCUGGCUCAUUUCAUCUGAAAUAUGCUUUAUUCCAGGGAUAGUAAUAGCUCAGAGAAUCUCUGAAAAAGAUCUCUAGAAAAAUCUCUAGAAAAGAUAAGGAAACAGAUUAUCCCCUAGAGCCUCCAGAAGGUAAGGCAGCCCUAUUGACCCCUUGAUUUUAGUCCAGUGAGACCUUUGUUGGACUCCUAACCUACAGAACUGUAAUAUAAUAAAUGUGUGUUCUUUUAAGCCACUAAACUCAUGGUCACUUAUUACAGCAGACAUAGAACACCAAUUCAGUAAGUGUCUAGCACAUUCACCUUAGCAGUAAUAAGAUGGGGGACAUAAUGAACCCUAUAUAAAUCUGCAGGUCGUCUGUCUGUCCUAGGUUGACAGGUCAAGAGAUACUGGUACAUGUUUAAAGCAUUACAUUAGGUAUCUUUUUUCCUUUCCAUUUUUUCCCUAAAGGACUCUCGCCCUAUUUCCUGCACAGGUGUACCCAACAUGGUUCUCACUGGAAUUACAGCAAAUUGGAAGACAGUGGUGGUGACACAGGGUGAAGAGCUACUUUUCAAAGGGUGAGACACAAGAAUGGCUUUUAGGAAUUUCCCCCCAAAGUAAUUUGUGACUGGAUCCUGUUGCCGAAACUUGGCCUCUGUUCACCGGUGCCGAAGAGAAAUGCGGAGACAGAGUUUUGGGUGAAGCAGAAAAGAGUAGCUUUUAUUGCUUUGCCAGGCAGAGGGGGCCACAGCGGGCUAAUGCCCUCAAGGCUGUGUGACCCACCCUGGAGGGAGUAGUGAGGAGCCUUACAGCGUUCGAGGAGCAGGGCGUGAUCAGCUCGCAGACAGUUCUCGGAUUGGCUGGCAUCAAAGUGAAGUUUCAAGCGUCAUCAACCUUCUGGUUUCAACCAGUCCAGGGUCUAUGUGCUUGUGGGCGGCGCUUUCCAUCCGGAGGGGGUCUGCUCCCUGUAAAACCACUUAGGAGUGUGUGUCGGGCCUUCAUCGGUAGCUUCAGUGAACUGGGAGUUCGGUGAUUCUGCCGUGUGGCGGAUUUAUAGUCUACAUUGCUGCCCGUUCCCCAGCCCAACAGCUGUUCUUUGUUUCUACACCUUCACAUUCCCGAAUCAUUAACUCUUGAGUCAGCACUUUACUGCAAAAGACAAGGGCACGGGGCCUCGUACACGGUUUCAAUCCUGACCAGCUCUGAGAUUUACACGAUGCAUAUGCUGUUGUUUUCAUAAAUGUUAACGUCCAUAAAAUGAAGUUCUUAAAAGCAUUAUUUGAGUUCUCCAUUGACUACUGAUUACACCAUCAAUGCCUUCCAGCCCUGGCAGCACAGGGAGGAAGGAAGAAUUGCUGGGAUGCUUGCAUCACCACAGGGCAAGAGGGCCUCAAAUUUUACUGCUUUAUCUUUAAGUAAGACUUCAUAGUUCGGCUGACUUUUCAUCCAUUCUUGCUGAUUCUGCCAGUGAGUUCCUCUGUAGUGACAGCCAAAGGCACUCAUGGAAAAUACUUAACCAAGCGUAAAGGCAGAAGUCGAGGUCACUUCAUCUACGACGGAAGUGGGGCAUGUGUCUACCUCAGGCCUGAGUCUUUCGCUGGGUCUUUUGGUAACUGGUGGCGGUGGUGGUGACAAUGUUUGAGUUAUUUUAUGUUUUAUCUUUAUUUUAUUUAUUUAUAUUUUUGGCCACGCCGGCGGGGGCCUGCGGGACCUUAGUUCCCCGACCACGGAUCGAACCCCUGCCCCCUGCAGUGGAAGCUCACAGUCUAAACACUGGACCGCCGGGGAAGGCCGUGAGUUUUUUGUUCAUGUUGUCGUUCGUUUUAGUUUCUCAACUGUUACUAGGAAAUGAUUGUGGAGCAAGUGCUUGGUUUUAAUUCUGGAAGGCAAAAGAACGUAACUAAGGACUUUUCCCGAGGAACGCUUUGAGAUCUUUAUGUCCAUUUGUGGUGUGACUUACCCACUUUUCAAUUAAGGAUUCUUAAUUAAAGGAAAACAAGCUUAUUUAUAGGUUUGAAUCAGUGUUAUAGAACAGUAGGUUUUCGACUGGGAUCCGCAGCCCACCCGCAUCAGAAACGUGUGGUCUGUGUUUACGUGAAAAACUGCCGACUCUAGGGCCUCACACCAACGAAACCUCCGGGGAUUGGAGCCCAGGAAGGAGCUUCUGUAAUCUCCACAGCUGAUUCUGAGGCACUCUAAAUGUAAGAACUGCCCUUUAAUAUUUUUAGAUAAGGGGAUUGUUACAAAAUGACAAGAGGGUAGAUCAUUCUUUUAAACUUAGACUUCAAGCAUUAGACAGUGAGGUGAGCUCUUCGUGCCAGUUUGUCUUCCCUGUUCUUCCCCACUCAGCCUAGGGACUCGUGCAGACAUUAGAGACAAAGUAGGCGAAGAAAAACUUAUUGCUUUACACACAUUUUGCUUUAAUAGCCACCGAAAGAUUGUUUCAUUUGCUCUCACUGACCCUGUCCACCAGUUAUGUUGGCCUUUAACGUAUCGCUGUAGCAGCAUGUAUAAAUAUAUAUCGUACAUUUAUUCACACGUACACACCUUCGAAAGCACUGCGAAGACACAGACUAGGCUUUAGCACAACUGGGGGCCGCUCACAUGUCACUUAAAAAUGGUCACCGGUUCAUUUACACAAGACUUUCAACAGGCUUGGUGUGGCCAGUAGCCCCCAAGUCCCAGGGAGAAGUUAGGAUGACAAAAUCGGACAGUAUGUUUAGAGUGGGGUCAGUACCCUUCUUGGAGCUCAUAAAAGAAUAGAAAUAGGAGGUCUAGGCUAAGCACGAGACGGCAUCUGGGAGUCGCUGCUCUCACCACGUGGAUUCAAAGAACUCAGGUGUUGCAGUGUAGACCGACGCCCAGCCUGACUGUGACCCAGCUGCGCUGGCCCCGGGUCAGGUCGUCGGGCCCCUGCCAGCACCGUCCUGCAGGGCACCGCUGCUCAGUCCUGAGCUUCUCCGUCUGCCGUGGAGCUCCAGCGUGGGGACCACAUGCUCCAUUGCUGGGAAGCAGGUCCUAUUUCCCCUGAGUUGACCCUCGGAGGAUGAGGCGAGAAAUGUGCUGUUGCUGGUUCCCAAGCCCCUGGCGCGUUCAGCAGCAGUGCCACAAGGUCCUCUACAAACUGUGCCUGUUUUGCUCAGUGCUGGGCCCGGUGGACCUUGGCUGGUUAUUCCUCAACUGCAGGAGAGGCCCUCUGCCUUUCGCCCUGCCCCACCAGGCCACAUCUCUGACUCCUUCCAGACCCUCCAGCAGGUGUGGAGAAGUGGGGCCCAGAUCCUCCUCAGCAGACAGGGAGCUGUGAAGAAGGGGGGCACCCCAUCCUCCCUGCAGUUUUAAGGACCUCUGGUGGCUUUGCUUCUUGAAUGGCUCCUGGAAGGCAAGGGUCACAGGACUGGAGUGCAUGGCAGAGCCCUUAGGGAUUUCACCUGGAGGCCAAAAUACCACAAUCAAAGUAAGACUCCAUUAUCUGGCCCUGCUGGUGGCUAACUGAGGCUGGAGAGGGAUCUGAGUGGUGACAGAAGCCGGGAGCACGCUGAGAGCCUGUCACAAGGAUGAGCUGAGGGGACGCGCUGAGGUCUGGAGGAGCAACUGGGGCCACCAGGUUGGAGAAGCUUCCCACCACCUCCUGUGGUCAUAUCUCUGCUCAAAGCCACUGCACACCAGGUGUCCGGAUCCUACCACUCCCUCUUCAGGGGCCAGUUCACUCUCCAGUUUACUUUGGAGCAAAAGGAUGGCUUUUGUGAUUUCCCAGGAAAAGAAGUGCUUAGUAUGAAACGUGCAUACAGACAUUGUCUUUUGUAGGAAGGAGAGGACGUUUUCUAGGGUGAGAAUAGCUAUGGGAGUUUGGGGUUGCUGGUUCUGGGUAGCUCUGUUCUCUCCACCUUCUCUCUUUGCUUCUCCAAUUGGUGACUGGUGUGGCUAGGGAGGAAAGGGGCCUGGGUGUGACCACCCACCUCUGGAAACAUGACUGUGCUGAGCUGAAGCCUCUGGCUUUUGUGGCUUCCCAGGAAAAGCAGUGCUUAGUAUGAAACACGCACACACAGACAUGGUCUUUUGUAGGAAGGAGAGAACGUUUUCUAUAGUGAGAAUAGCUAUUCGAGUUUUGGGUUUAUUUUGCUCAAGAGUUCGUUGAGAGUCUUCAUUCUGUGUGUUUAUACUUUUCCAAAAAGUUAGAAACUGUUGAGCCUUUAUUUCUUCAAAUAUUUUUCUACCCCAGUCUCUCAUCUGUUUUUGAGACAACAAUUUUGGAUAUACUAUAUUAUUUAACAUCGUCCCACAAGUCACUAAAAUUUUUUUUUCAGUCUUUUUUUUUCUUUGAUUCAUUUUGGAUAAAUUCUUUUUCUAUGUCUUCAAAUUUAAAUGAAAAUUUCUUCUGCAGUCUCUAAUCUGCUAUUAACCAUAUCCAGUAAUAUUUCUAUUUCAGAUAUUUUGUCAUCUCUAGGAAUUCCAUUUAUACUUACAUCUUCCAUUUCUCUCCUUAAGCUCAUAUUUCUUUUCAUUUUUGACCAUAUAAGCAUAAUUAUAUAUGUUUUAAUAUUUUUGCCUAACUCCGUCAUCUCUUUCAUUUCUGAGUUUGUUUCUGUUGUCAUAUUUUCCUGUCCUAUGUAUAAUACUUUUUAUUAGAAGCUGGACAUUAUGAAUUAUACAUUGUUGAUUACUGAAUUUUGUUUUUAAAGAUUGUUGAACUUUAUUUUCCCCAGAAGUUGUUACUUGUGUUCAGUAUGAUUCUUUUGAGGCUUGUUUUAAAAUUCAUUCAGGGCAAGUCUAUAGUAGUCUUUGCUCGAGGGCUGACUUGGACCCACUUCUAAGGCAUGGCCUUUUUGAUGUCUCUAUUGGAUGCCCUGUAUACUCAGUGAGAUUUCUCCAUUUUUCCACUCUGGCUGUAGUGAUCUCCAGCACAGUGUGAUCUCUAGGAAUUAUUUGUCUUCUUCCUAGUCACUAUUCUUUGCCUGGAAUCUGUCCUUUCCCAGCCUCAUGGAGGUUUACCCUACCAUACACAGAUUUAUAUUCAGCUAUUGAUUCACGGGGUGCAUUAUGUAUAUUUCAGUAACUCUUCUCUGUAUGUCUCCCUCCUCAGUUACUCUGUGCAAACAUUCAAGAUUUCUUGAACUGUGUUUAUUUUCUUUAACUCAUCAAUUUUCCCGCACUUUGUUGUUGUUGUCGUUCCUACCCUGUGCCAUAUUCCAGAAAUUGUCUGCAAGAAGAAAGUUUAGGUGUGGUAGGAUUCACCUUGUUUGUUUUCUUUCAGGGGUCACAGUUCAGAGCUUCUUAUUGUCCAAUGUCUGAAAACUCUUUUUCUAUAUUUUGUCCAGUUUUCUUUUUUUUAGAGUCACAGAUUUAUUUAUUUAUUUAUGGCUGCGUUGGGUCUUUGUUGUUGCGUGUGGGCUUUCUCUAGUUGCGGCAAGCAGGGGCCACUCUUCGUUGUGGUGCACGGGCUUCUCAUUGCAGUGGCUUCUCUUUGUUGUGGAGCAUGGCCUCUAGGUGUGCGGGCUUCAGUAGUUGUGUCACACGGGCUCAGUAGUUGUGGCUUACGGGCUCUAGAGCGCAGGCUCAGUAGUUGUGGCACACGGGCUUAGCUGCUCCGUGGCAUGUGGGAUCUUCCUGGACUAGGGCUCGAACCUGUGUCCCUUGCAUUGGCAGGCAGAUUUUUAACCAUUGUGCCACCAGGGAAGCCCCUCUCUUGUUUUCUUAAACUAGCUUGUGUUCGUCUGCCUUAGAUGAUGGAGGAUUCACAAGUAGUAGAAAGCAUGAGCCUCUGUUCCUGUGGCUCAGUGAGGCAGGGUGUUGUCUGGUUCCAGUGGAGUUACCAUGAAGAAGCCUCUCUAUCCUCCUUUCCUUAAGCUUUCCCAGUCUUGGAUGUGGAAAGAACUCAGUUGCUCCAGUUCAGCAACCCCUCAGCUCAUUCUGCUUCACUAGUUGAACCAGCUUUUAAAAAUUUUACAGCUGCAUAUUACUCCAUUGUGUGGUUGUACCAUAAUUUUCCAGCCCAUAUCCUAGGUAUGAAUAUUUAGGUAGGUUCAGUAUUUUGCAAUUAAAAAUACUGCUCAAGGGUUUCCCUGGUGGCGCAGUGGUUGAGAGUCCACCUGCCGAUGCAGGGGACACGGGUUCAUGCCCCAGUCUGGGAAGAUCCCAUAUGCCGCGAAGCGGCUGGGCCCGUGAGCCAUGGCCGCUGAGCCUGCGCAUCCGGAGCCUGUGCUCCGCAACGGGAGAGGCCACAACAGUGAGAGGCCCGCAUACUGCAAAAAAAAUUAAUAAUAAUAAUAAUAAUGCUCAAAUAGGUCAUGUGUAUUUAUCUUUUCUUAGUAGACAUAGAUCUUCAAGGUAAAUUUAUAUAAGUGGGAUUAAUGGGUCAAAGAGUAAAUGAAUAUGUAGUUUUGUUAGCUAUUCCCCUAUAGGGGAAUUUGUAUUCCCACUAGCAAUAUAAUAAUAGUGCCUAUUUAGUUAUAUCUCUCUAAAAAAGCUUGUUGUCAAACAUUUGAAUUUUUGCCAAUCUGAUAAGUGAGAAAUGACUUAUAAGCGGAGUUUUGAGUUUCACUAAUCAUAAGUGAAGUAUAAUAAAAUUCUGGUUAAUUGUCUGCUCAUAUCUUUUGUCCAUUUUUUGUCAUUUCUACCCUGAUUUUUAAAAAUUUAUUUAUUUAAUUAAUUUAUUUUUGACUGCAUUGGGUCUUCGUUGCUGCACACAGGCUUUCUCUAGUUGCAGUAAGUGGGGGCUACUCUUCAUUGUGGUGUGUGGGCUUCUCACUGCGGUGGCUUCUCUUGUUGCGGAGCAUGGGCUCUAGGCACACAUGCUUCAGUAGUUGUGGCAUGUGAGCUCAGUAGUUGUGGCUCGCGGGCUCUAGAGUGCAGGCUCAGUAGCUGUGGUGCACGGGCUUAUUUGCUCCGCAGGAUGUGGGAUCUUCCCAGAUCAGGGAUCGAACCCGUGUCCCCUGCAUUGGCAGGUGGAUUCUUAACCACUGCACCACCAGGGAAGUCCCCAGGUGUAUUUUAAAGUUUUCCUUGUAUAAGUUUUACUCAUUUCAUGUUGAUUUUAUUCUUGAAUAUUUUAUUUUUAUUGUUGCAAUUUUAUUUUAUUUUUUAUUAAAGUAUAGUUGAUUACAAUAUUGUGAUAGUUUCAGGUGUAGAGCAAAGUGAUUCAGUUAUGUAUAUAUAUUUUUUCAGAUAAUUUUCCAUCAUAGGUUAUUACAGCAUAUUGGAUAUAGUUCCCUGUGCUAUACAAUAAAUCCUUGUUGCUUAUCUACUUUAUGUAUAGUAGUUUUUAUAUGUAAAUCCCAUACCCCUAAUUUAUCUCUCCCCUCUCUCCCUUUCCCCUUUAGUAACCAUAAGUUUGUUUUCUGUCUGUAACUCUGCUUCUCUUUUGUAUAUAGAUUCAUUUGUAUUAUUUUUACAUAUAAAUAUUUUUCCACAUAUAAGUGA